rnacentral:misc_RNA from 1 species
UUUGCUUAUGUUGGUGGUAGUUGGCAUGCGUAGACUGAUGACUAGUCAGCAAGGAGCGUAGAACAGUCACACUCGUUAUAUAUGUGCUUCCAAGAAAACUCAAGAAUUUACCAUUAGCAAACACUUUUUUGAAAUGUUAGACAUUUAAAUGACGAAGGCAUAUAGAAGCUUUGAAUAGGUGUUGUAAAGUGUUGAUUUAUGUGACGCUGAGGGUGCGCAUGAAAGGAAUGUUGGGUCACGAUUAUUAAACAGUUUGCUAGCUUGGACACUUGAGUAUUGGAAGUUGUUGAAUUCUAAAAAACUUUCAGUUGAUUUGAAUAGUUGCUGUUGCCAAAAAACAUAACCUGUACCGAAGAA